CGUCGCAUACGUCUUCCUGUCGUAUCAAUGGUGGUGACCAGCCCUUUGAUAUAAGAUUUCAGUAGAUAUCGUAUGGUUUAUACGCUCUGGUUGUGCAUCCAGACAGAAACUAAUACACCAGCUGAGGUUCACGAGUCGAAGGUAGAUUACUCCGUCAUCGCCUAUAAAAAAUGCUUUAGCUACGAUAAAUCCUGUGUUUUCAUAAGAAUCAAAUCCCUGUUUACGAUAUCUUGACGACUAAUGCGGAUUGAUGGCACAUAGUACCGAUCAAUUUGUUAUCAGAUAUGAGCCGUCCUGCACGUAAUCUCAUACAAUUUUAUCGGUUACUAAAUUUAACAAAUGCAUGAUUUCAACUCAAAUAAAUAAAAUCUCGAGUAGGUAGAUGCGGUUCGCACGACAAGGUACCCGUAGCAUCGGACUAACAAAAACACGAGACGCGCGAAUACAAAUCAAAAUGACCCGUGUGUUGAAGCCUUCAUCUUCAAUAUAUCUAGCCGCUUCAUUUCAUUCGCUGACAACGUAGACAUUGUCGGACGAACGUUUUAGGUAAUGGCAGAGCAAUACACCAGACUGAUAUGUGAAGCAGCAAACCAUAUAAAAAAAAAUCCAUACCCGAAAGAUAGCUCUAAUUGUAGAACAAGUCCAAAAAUGGUUUGGAUGAUACCCAAAACACGUCGUUAAGCAAAAUAACCAUAUAAAUUUUAUUAGGGAAGAUAUGAUCUAUGUUCACCUUUUUCCCUUCCCUUCUCUAAGGAAUAGAAUCCAUGAGGUUCUGACAAUUUAUUUGGGAGCAUCCGGAUCAUGUCUAUUGAUGGUCCAAUGUGCUCCACGACACUCAAUAUGACUUCGAAUGAUCUGCUGAAAGCCCAGGCCUUUUCCCUGGGGAUAUCCGAAUUAUUUUCAGUUAUGGUAAAUGCGGUAAACGACUUCCUAUGUUACUUUUAGUGAUCUGCUUUUUGAAAACCUGGGUCAUUUGAUGUGCCGGAUGGGGGAUUAUGGUUCAGAUUAGGUUCUGGUCUCUUUCCUGGGCUCAUCUGCAACAGGUCCAGUAUUCGCCAUUAGGGUCCACGACACUCAAUAUAGCUUCCAAUGAUUUGCGUUUUGAAAACGUGAUGUGUCACAUGACGCAUUGGGUGCUAAAAUCUAUUUUGUCCUUCUUCAAGCUUGAGCGAGAACACCUGUGAUUUGAAGGAGACUCAUCUAGUAAGUACAAAUUGCAUCCACUUUGGCUGCGAUUUCGCUGAGCUACAAGAAAAUGAAAUUUUGCAAUUUCAGGUAGGGCACGUGGUGCCAAAUAAAAAAGCGUUCAUAUUGCUACAAUGUGGAGUUUCACUUUCAUGUUACUCGAACUCUGAUUUGACUCGGGACUGAUGACAGGCUUCAUUAAAGUUGCGAUGUAUUCUAAAUCGAGCUGAAUUUUUUAAUUGAGGGGGUGAAAGGAAAGGGGUGUAUGUGACUUUGAUCGAUUCUCUUCAUCGACUCACUCUUUCCUUAAUAAUUCAGCUGCAAACACAUUCCUUGAUGCGUGUGCCAUUCUGGAUGCUAGAUGAGAUCCUCCUUUAUCAAACUAUGUGGCAGAUAUAGCGCAAAAUCUGUUCAUAAAGCUGUGGCUAUCAAAAGAGACAGUCGAUGAAAAGAAUCGAUCAAAGUCACUUCCAUCAAAUCCCCUCAGUUGAGUUCCUUGAGGACUAAGGUGCGAUUAAAUUAAAAACAUUCCAAGAAAGAUGCGAUAAAUGGAACGUAAGCUCUGCCGUUCAGUUGGUAAUGUGGAUCAAUCAAUCAAUCAAUAACACUAGGUCCGUUUUUAUCCUUAUGCAAACUUCUCAGGCCCUCUCUGCUUUAUUUCCAAAGUUUAUUUAAAAACCUCAUCUCGACCCAUGACAAAAUAAAAAGAAGAAAAUCACAUCCAAUGUUACUGAAUCGAAUAAACAAAUAAAUAAUUGCAAAAGCAGCAUCAGAAAAAAAAGAAGUUACGCAAAGCGGAAACGAUAAACAAAAUAAAACUAAUGACUCUAUCAAUGACACAUCCAACUAAUCCCAAUUGAUCAAAGAAACAAGAAAACGAAUUGAGUAAAACAAUGAAAUUUAGGCAAGCGAAGAAACGCAAAAAUGGAGGAAAACGAAAGAAAAGCUACUAAAUCGAGCAGACGAAAAAUACUGUGAAGAGAAAUAAAACCAUUUACAAUUAUAUGUGUAAAUAAUGUUAAGUACAUAUUUAAGCUCGCAAGUAUUCGAAUGGCUAUCAUGUGUGUGAGGCCAAGUGGGAGCAAUUAGGUACAGCUCUGGGAUAACAGAUGCAGAUAAGGCUGGUUAAAAAUCACGCCAAGUAAAUGAUGAAUGAGCAGCAGAGUGCAGGCACGAGCAAUGAGAGAAAAUACACAUACACACACACACCCCACAUACAUACACAAACUUAAUAGGUCAAAGUUGAUCGGAACUGGAACAAAACAACAGCGUAGCAUGUUGAAAAUUGAAUGAAAAGCAUAGCAAAAAAGAAAUCAGAAAAUUAUCACAUUUAUAAAUAUUUAAAAACUACAAAAGAAACUACAAAAUUACAACCUAAAGCAUUAAUACAGAAAAAAAGAAGAACACAAAUAAUGCAGAAUGCACUCGUAACGCAGAUGUGAAGCAAACGAAAAAAAAAGAGAAGAGAAAUGAGUCAUUGAGGUUAAAAAAUAAACAUAAAAUGAAAGAAAUCCAUAACAGUAUAUAGAUAAACACAAGAUCGUGAUAGCGUAGAACAUGCUGAACGGCGAAAGAAGAUUAGCUAACUGUACACAGUUAUAAUGCAAAAACAAACUUUUUCCUUUGAUCUAAAAAUAAAAAUUAUAAAUAAUUAA